UGAAAUGGAGGAGAAAUUACAGCAAUUUAUCAGCUGAAAUUAUAGGUGUAGACACAUGUCAGCAGUAGACACAGUUUCUAUGAAAGUUAAAGUAUUUAGAGAUUUUUCCUCAAAUUUCA
rnacentral:lncRNA from 1 species